CAAAGGGGUGCCCAAUGUAAAUGGGCUGAGAUCACACCCUAUGAACCUGAUUCGGUUAGUACCGGCGAAGGGAUUUGUU
rnacentral:ncRNA from 1 species